rnacentral:rRNA from 1 species
GAAACUGGUGCUAAUACCGAAUGGUCUUCAUUGCUUUGGGGUGAUGGAGUAAAGGUGGCCUCUUCAUGAAAGCUACCGUGUAGGGAUGAGCCUGCGUACCAUUAGCUAGUAGGUGGGGUAAUGGCCCACCUAGGCUACGAUGGUUAGCGGGUCUGAGAGGAUGAUCCGCCACACUGGAACUGGAACACGGACCAGACUCCUACGGGAGGCAGCAGUGAGGAAUAUUGCGCAAUGGGGGAAACCCUGACGCAGCGACGCCGCGUGAGUGAGGAAGGUUUUCGGAUCGUAAAGCUCUGUCAGAAGGGAAGAAGUGUUAUACAGUUAAUACCUGUAUAAUUUGACGGUACCUUCAGAGGAAGCACCGGCUAACUCCGUGCCAGCAGCCGCGGUAAUACGGAGGGUGCAAGCGUUGUUCGGAAUUACUGGGCGUAAAGGGCGCGUAGGCGGCCUGAUAAGUCAGAUGUGAAAGUCCACGGCUC